AAAUGCAAUUUGCAUCUGCUCUUCAGACUGUAAGGUGGGCCACGCUAAUUGCUGUCACCUCAGCCCCUCCACAGCAGGAAGCAGGUUUAUGAGCAUACCCUGUGUUUCACAUCAUACUCUUCUGGAUGAAGUCAGUCACAGAUCAAAGUUUUCUGUACCCCAGUAGCACAAUCCACCCCGUGCACGAUCCCCGCGGCCCGUCUGUGCUCAGGACACAGCUCAGGUGAGCUCAGGUGCCGGCUCCGGCCACGCUGCACGGACACACGAGGAGCCCGGGAAAACCUCCGUGUGGAACCACAGCGUUCCUGCUGAGGACACGAGGUUCUGGAUGAAGGAAGCAGUAGACUAACCUGGAUCCACGCUUGCUAAAUUUCCAAGAGGAUUUUUGUGGGAAAGGUGGAGCUGCUAGUGGAACGUCCCAGAUCUUUGGCGGCAGCCUGCAAGACUGCUGGAAAGGACAGAGGAAUGCCUGCCUCUACCACAUAACAUUUUCUGGUGGAUGGGUAGCAUCUCUGAAUAAGGAAUCAAAGAAUUUGCAAGGAUUGGUAAAAGAUUUUCAAAGAAAAUUUUGAAGGAAAGCUGCUGUAAAUCAGAGAAGUCUCAGUCUUGAAACACAGAGAUGGAAGUGACAUAGCAGAUUUCUGCAUCUACACAUCUUAUGUAAAAGCUAUGGAAGAACAAGCAGUUGUCAGCAAGAGGCUGGUGAAAUUUGAGGAUGCAAUCAAACUCUGAGGCUGCAGAGCACUGGCGGCUGAGUUAAAGAUUGGGGGUUUUCUUAAAGCUGAGUAAGACCAAACCUCGUCUAGGAAACUCCUGCUGGUUGACCUCAGUGUCCUUCAUGGGUCUGCUGGGCACAGACUAACGUUGCAGAACCUUCCUCUGAACAGCAGGCCUGAAUCUCUUUAUUCCAAGGUUCACUUGGCACAGCAGGCAGGCAGGGCUGGAACUGCCUGGUUCUCAGGCUGCUUUGACUCAUGCAUGGGGGCAGCUGUGGUGGGAUCAGAUGGCUCUGUGCCACGUAUGGACUAGAGCAGCGUAGAGACGUCCUGUGCCACACUGCGUUGUCCUGUGCCACACUGCGUUCCUGCUGCAUCCUCUGUGCCGGCACUGGAGGGAUGUGAUGAAGGAAUAGUAGGGUAAAAGAGCUUUUUACAAGUCAGUAUUAUUCUCCAGCCUGUUUGAGCCUUCCAGGCAAAAUGCCAAGGGAAGAGAAUUAAGUCUGGUGCUUGUCUGUGAAUUUAGCUCAGGAAUUACUUGUGAAGGGAACCUCACUACUGCUGACCUAUUAUGGUGCACAUGGGAAGUUGACACCUUAGAGAAUUCAUUGACCAGCCUGUUUGUUGCAGACUGUUUCAUUCAUGAGCUAUUGAGAGACUGAAAUGGCUUUUAAAACAAAGAUUAUUGAGUAAUAAGCUGGAAGUCGUUCAUGACUGGGACAUAUCUGGCAGUUCUGCCAUGACACUGAAGCUAGAAAUCAUGACACUUCCAGAGCCUGAAAAUCAUAAAUAUUUCUUAGCUAUAUGUGUAUAUUUGGCUAAUGAGUAACACUCUUUGGGGUUACUUAAAAGUAGCAAUAAGCUGUUUUUGAUACUAGAUGAACAUCUAGUACUUUCCACAGAGGACUCACUCCAAGCCACAGCUGCUGUAAAGGGAAGAGGGCCAGAUUCACUGUGGGUCUUCAGUAACUCUGCUUGGAGAAAAUCACUGUGACUUUGAGAAGAGAACACAGUGAUUACUACACUUUGUAAUAUUUGUAAGUCCACUAGUUUAUUUGCUUUGUGCAAACCUGUGCAACAAGUCUGCCAGCAAAGUCAAAAUCAACAAAUCUUUUAAA